GCUGCACCUCUCCUAGCCCUCAUUUAAGGGCUGACUGCCACUAGGAGUUUGCUGACUGCCCCUAAGGAGUUUUCCUUGUGAGCCUAGAUCUUCAGAGAAGGGAACCAACAUUUCAGCCCAUCACGAAGCACCAAGUUGCUGGCUGGCUCUGUGCAGCCUGGGUUGCAGCUCCAACACCUCCCAGCAGGAUGGGCCUGCUCAGUCCCAACGCUGGAGAGUGUCCCGGUAAACGCUGACUGAGGUAGGUGUUCCACUUCUGAGUGGGAAGACCUGAAUGUCAGCUGUCAGUGACUGGUGUUCUGGUCUCAGGCUCCUCUUUUGUCAGUGCCUCCUGUGUGCAUCUUCUUGAGAGGGAUGAAGACAAAAGAGGGCCUACCUUGUGUAGCUGUUGAUGCACUGGAAAGCCAAGAUGCGGCUGGGUAUGUGAUGUGUUUUGGCUGACUUAAUGCUUGUAAUCUUUGUGCACUGUUUGUUUUUCAAUAAAGAACAAUGA